GGAGAGAUGCAAGAGUGGUUGAAUUGGCCGCUCUCGAAAAGCGGUGAGCCGGCAACGGUUCCGAGGGUUCGAAUCCCUCUCUCUCCGCCA
rnacentral:tRNA from 1 species